rnacentral:lncRNA from 1 species
UUUAGAAUUUGACCUUGACCUUUGACCUUGACCUAAUUUUCAUUUUUUUGGACCAAGGAUCUUAAAUCAAAAGACCCUAGGUCUCUAUCACUUAUAGUUUACCAGUUAGAAAUGCAUAUCACUUAUAUCAUAUAUAAAAGGGGGAUAACUCUCAUAUGGAGUCUCCGGAUAGCUUCGGUCAAAAUGAAACAGAACAUCCUGAGGAUGUAACGAGCAAUUUGGUAAAAUAAAUUUGUCGUAAUCUUUUACGGUUGCGAAGGAGUAGUGGCCACAAGAAAAACAGUGUUCGGGGAGAUAACUCUUACAAGGUAAAGUUUUUUUGUUACGCGGUGUCAGUUUCAGAAGCGUAUUAACUGUUCGAUAUCAUAUACCAUAAUAUCUAAGCGACAUCUUGUGAAACAAAAAACAGCGAAGGAAAAAAAGUUGGCGGAAGAAAAAAAAAAAAAAAAAA